GGAAAACUGGAUAAAGGGUCAAGACCCAUUGGCAUGCUGGGUUCAGAAGACCCACCUCACAUGCAAAGGCAACACAUAGACUCAAAAUAAAGGGAUGGAGAAAAAUUUGCCAAGCAAAUGGAAAAAAAAAAAAAAAAGCAGGGAUUGCAGUCCCAGUUGCUGACAAA